rnacentral:rRNA from 1 species
GACAGAGGGUGCAAACGUUGCUCGGAAUUACUGGGCGUAAAGCGCGUGUAGGUGGAUUGGUGUGUCAGAUGUGAAAGCCCUGGGCUCAACCCAGGAACUGCACCUGAAACUACCAGUCUUGAGUGGUGGAGAGGGAUGCGGAAUUCCAGGUGUAGCGGUGAAAUGCGUAGAUAUCUGGAGGAACACCGGUGGCGAAGGCGGCAUCCUGGACCAAUUCUGACGCUGAGGAGCGAAAGCCAGGGGAGCAAACGGG